rnacentral:rRNA from 1 species
CAAUAGCGUAUAUUAAAGUUGUUGCAGUUAAAAAGCUCGUAGUUGGAUUUCUGGUAGGAGCGACCGUGCCGAACUUGAUUGUUCGAGUAUUGUGUUGUCUUCAGCCAUCCUCGUGGAGAACUUUUCUAACAUUAACUUGUUGGGAUUGGGACCCGCGUCGUUUACUGUGAAAAAAUUAGAGUGUUUAAAGCAGGCAUUAGCUUGGAUACAUUAGCAUGGAAUAAUAAGAUAGGACUUUGGUACUAUUUUGUUGGUUUGCAUACCAAAUUAAUGAUCAACAGGAACAGUUUGAGGAUAUUCGUAUGAACAUGUCAGAGGUGAAAUUCUUGGAUUUUGAUCAGACGAACUACUGCGAAAGCAUUUAUCAAGGAUGUUUUCAUUAA